AGGGCGCGGGCGCGCUGGCGGGCGGGGGGGACAGGCGACCAGAGCCGCGGACUUCCCACAGCUCCUAGGGCUGCCUCGGCCGCAGCGGCCGAGGACAGCAGAGCACCGCGAGGCGCCGGACGUCUCCUGCACCCCGGCCACCCCCGGCAUCCCAGGCUCCCCGCGUGCCCAGGCCGCGCCUCCCCGCGCCGCGCCUCCCCACCGCCGGGACCUGGCGACGUCACUGCGGCUCUGACGCGCGCUAAUGGAGGCACGGGCGGAGGCGGCUUGGCGCGGGUGUCCCCCGGGGAGGUCCCGGUCCUUGCAGCCCGCGGUCGCGUCCUUGGCCCUCCUCCAGGGGAACCUCGAUUUUCCAAUCUCAGGAAGGCCGGCUGUCCUUCGGCUACUGAUAAGGACGCGAGCUCAUGGUAAAAGAGUUUAACAAUGCCCGGAAAGAAAUAGCCGGACCCAAGAAAGAGACUAAUAAUAGCAGCCCGCUAGAGUUCUGCUCUUGUGCUCAGCGCUCUUAAGAACAGUAAUAACGACAACAACCAUAAGAGCCACCAUUUAUUGAGCGCUUACUCUGUGCCAGGCACUGUGUUAAGCGCUUUGCAGGCAACAACCCUCGGAGGCUCCAUACCAGUGUGGGGCUUGAACUCACAACCUUGACAUCAAGAGGUACAUGCUCUACCGACUGAGCCAGCCAGGCACCCCCAGGAAGACCUAACUAUAAAGCCAUGUUCCCAUCAGCUGAUCCAACUGAACAGAAGAGGAACUGAUGUCCAGAGGUAAGUGGCCCAGCCUGGUAGAGCAGCCCCGUGACCAUCAGGGACACAGGCCCCUUCCACCUGGGGCUCCCCAUCCAAAAUGCAUGCCUUCCUCUAGUGGCCCAAGGUGGCCCUUGAAAGAAGCAGCAGCACAAAAGAGAGCUCCUUCCCCUCGAAGGACGCUUCCUGGAAUCCACACGCAUCACACCUGCUCAUACCCCACUAGCGGGAUCUAAGUCCCCCAGAACCCCGGGAAAUAGUAGGGGUGAUUUAUCUAAGUAGGGCUUUUAUUUGCUAUAGAUGACUGACUUCUCUGCCACAUUUUACAAACAUCUUUCCAGUGCACAUAGUUUUAUAUCCCUUUUUUUUCUCUUAUUUUUUGGUGAGUGUUUGACCCCAUCAUUAAAUAUUCGUCAAAAGACGAAG